rnacentral:lncRNA from 1 species
UGGGUCGGGACUGCUGUGCUGGAGAGACAAAACGCUGUUGGUAUCUCAGUGAUCUAUUGGUGAUUGAUAUAUAUAUAUAUAUAUAUGUUUCACGUGUGUGAGGAAGAUUAUCCCUGAACUAACAUCUGUGUCAGUCUUCCUCCAUUUUGUAUAUGGGACACCAUCACAGCAUGGCUUGAUGAGCAGUGUGUGGGUCUACACCCAGGAUCCCAACCUGUAAACCCCAGGCUGCCGAAGCGGAGUAUGUGAACGUUAAGUUCACUACACCACCGGGCCAGCCCCUGCGAUAGAUAUUCUCGCUUCAUGUAAACAGUUCACCUCUAGAAUGAGACGGUGGAUCUGAUGAAAUGAAACGCAGCUAUUGACGACAAGCCAAAUGGGCGAUGCAUCUGGCAGCUCUGUGAGGUGUGCAUCGGCAACCCUCUGCUCCGUGAAGGCGACACCUGCUCUUACUUUGCCCAGCUCUUCAAAGUGAAACGGACAAGCAGCUGUCAGGUCAGCCCCCCAUUGCAGAGCUUGAAGCCAUCAAGAGCAGUGAUAUAUUUGCCUUGUUCUGGGGGCAGGCUUUCUGCCGACGCGGGAGAUCACAUAAAUACCUUCAGACCAGCAUAUCUGAGUCGUCAAUCUGUUAUAAUUUCCAUUAAGUUAUCUCAGAGGUCUUCUCCAUCACAAGACAGCAAAAGCUGGACAUUUACUUCUUUAUUAAAUGCAAGAAGAUGCGCACGCCCUGCCUCGUCCCUGGUGUGCGUUUCUGUGGGGACCAGUGGAGACUCUCAUUCAACAUCAGUCAGCCUGCAAUCUUCUCAUC